CGGUUCCUCCAGAAUAUCUGGCAUGCUCAAGCGAGGAAGGGAACAGCUUGCUCUGGUCAACUGUGUCCCCACAGAUGAUCCAUUAUAUUGACCAGAUACUCAAGUGGCCGCUUGAACAAUUAUUCAAAAAUGGAAGGCGAUGGGAGGAGGCAAGAUCAGGAGUUGAGGCCGUUGAGCUGGUGUGAGAGAGAACUGACUUACAGAACUGUCCUAGACUGGACCUAGUCUGGACCUAGCUGGACCUAGUGUGGACCUAACUGGACCUGGACCAGUGGAGUCUCUGUCUGCCAGUAUUCACAGUUCACAGACUACAGGAGAACAACUGAGCAGGACCUGAGCCUUAGGACCAUGCCUCAGGACUACCUGGCCUG